AUUGAACGCUGGCGGCAUGCUUUACACAUGCAAGUCGAACGGCAGCACGGGUGCUUGCACCUGGUGGCGAGUGGCGGACGGGUGAGUAAUGCAUCGGAACGUGUCCUAAAGUGGGGGAUAACGCAUCGAAAGAUGUGCUAAUACCGCAUAUUCUCUGAGGAGAAAAGUAGGGGAUCGAAAGACCUUAUGCUUUUGGAGCGGCCGAUGUCUGAUUAGCUAGUUGGUAAGGUAAUGGCUUACCAAGGCGACGAUCAGUAGUUGGUCUGAGAGGACGGCCAGCCACACUGGGACUGAGACACGGCCCAGACUCCUACGGGAGGCAGCAGUGGGGAAUUUUGGACAAUGGGCGCAAGCCUGAUCCAGCAAUGCCGCGUGAGUGAAGAAGGCCUUCGGGUUGUAAGACUCUUUCAGUUGAAAGAAAGGUAGUAGACUAAUAAUACAUAACU
rnacentral:rRNA from 1 species